rnacentral:rRNA from 1 species
UACGGGGGGGGCAAGCGGUUGUUCGGAAUUACUGGGCGUAAAGGGCUCGUAGGCGGCCAACUAAGUCCGACGUGAAAUCCCCAGGCUUAACCUGGGAACUGCGUCGGAUACUGGAUGGCUUGAAUUCGGGAGAGGGAUGCAGAAUUCCAGGUGUAGCGGUGAAAUGCGUAGAUAUCUGGAGGAAUACCGGUGGCGAAGGCGGCAUCCUGGACCGACAUUGACGCUGAGGAGCGAAAGCCAGGGGAGCAAACGGG